GAUGAACGCUGGCGGCGUGCCUAAUACAUGCAAGUCGAGCGAACAGAUGAGGAGCUUGCUCCUCUGACGUUAGCGGCGGACGGGUGAGUAACACGUGGAUAACCUACCUAUAAGACUGGGAUAACUUCGGGAAACCGGAGCUAAUACCGGAUAAUAUAUUGAACCGCAUGGUUCAAUAGUGAAAUACGGUUUUGCUGUCACUUAUAGAUGGAUCCGCGCCGCAUUAGCUAGUUGGUAAGGUAACGGCUUACCAAGGCAACGAUGCGUAGCCGACCUGAGAGGGUGAUCGGCCACACUGGAACUGAGACACGGUCCAGACUCCUACGGGAGGCAGCAGUAGGGAAUCUUCCGCAAUGGGCGAAAGCCUGACGGAGCAACGCCGCGUGAGUGAUGAAGGUCUUCGGAUCGUAAAACUCUGUUAUUAGGGAAGAACAAAUGUGUAAGUAACUAUGCAUGUCUUGACGGUACCUAAUCAGAAAGCCACGGCUAACUACGUG
rnacentral:rRNA from 1 species